UAAGACAGAGGGUGCAAACGUUGUUCGGAAUUACUGGGCGUAAAGCGCGUGUAGGCGGCCGGGUAAGUCGGGCGUGAAAGCCCACGGCUCAACCGUGGAAGUGCACUCGAAACUACUUGGCUAGAGUCCUGGAGAGGAAGGUGGAAUGCUUGGUGUAGAGGUGAAAUUCGUAGAUAUCAAGCGGAACACCGGUGGCGAAGGCGGCCUUCUGGACAGUGACUGACGCUGAGACGCGAAAGCGUGGGGAGCAAACA
rnacentral:rRNA from 1 species